rnacentral:lncRNA from 13 species
UAUGACCAGACUACUAGACUGAAUCUGGGUUUAUAUAACCAGACUACUAGACUGAAUCUGGGUUUAUAUAACCAGAGUGUCCAGACUACUAGACUGAAUCUGGGUGUAUAUAACCAGUGUCCAGACUACUAGACUGAAUCUGGGUUUAUAUAACCAGACUACUAGACUGAAUCUGGGUUUAUAUAACCAGACUCCUAGGUUGAAUCUGGGUGUAUAUAACCAGACUACUAGGUUGAAUCUGGGUGUAUAUAACCAGAGUGUCUGGGAUACCCUCCCUAUUUGUAUGAAUUUAGUUCAGAUGUUUUGUAAUAAUGUAUUGAAUGAAGUGUAAAGAACUAGGUUUGUAUUUAUUUU